rnacentral:rRNA from 1 species
UUGGACAAUGGGCGCAAGCCUGAUCCAGCCAUGCCGCGUGCAGGAUGAAGGCCUUCGGGUUGUAAACUGCUUUUGUACGGAACGAAAAGGUGCCUUCUAAUAAAGGGCGCUCAUGACGGUACCGUAAGAAUAAGCACCGGCUAACUACGUGCCAGCAGCCGCGGUAAUACGUAGGGUGCGGGCGUUAAUCGGAAUUACUGGGCGUCAGGCGUGCGCAGGCGGUUUUGUAAGACAGAGGUGAAAUCCCCGGGCUCAACCUGGGAACUGCCUUUGUGACUGCAAGGCUGGAGUGCGGCAGAGGGGGAUGGAAUUCCGCGUGUAGCAGUGAAAUGCGUAGAUAUGCGGAGGAACACCGAUGGCGAAGGCAAUCCCCUGGGCCUGCACUGACGCUCAUGCACGAAAGCGUGGGGAGCAAACA